UCUACCAACAACUUAUAAUUAAAGCCCAACUGACUAAACCCUAACUUCUUUUAUCACUUCAGCUGCAUCCCAAACCAGACCCCCAAACCUUUCUUCUCUCCCGAUUUUCUGGUCACCGGCGCCGCAACUCCGGCCGGCUGCCGACGACGGGUUCUCCUCCUUCUCCUACACCUACAGCCCCUCCCCAAUCUUGUUUAACACAUCUCGACAUCACCACAACCUUUUCGAAUCACGGGCGCGUUGCUUGAACUCGGAGCUCUCGCGGGAAAACCUGCAAGUGGCCGGAAGCUCGCAUCGGAACGGAGCUCGAAGACGUCGGAACUCGUGUUCGCCGUAACCGUCUGAACAAUCCUGUCGUCGCCGGAGAUCGGAAACCCGCGGGUGUUAUCUCGUUUUUGGAUAACCAUUUCGUCCGUUCUUUUGGAUUUUAUCCAAUCUUACUCGUGCGUUACUUACAAGAAAUCGCAACGCAACCAAUGUUGAUGAGGACGAUGCUAAGAAAAGAAAUAGCGUUGAUGCCUAGAUACACA